GAGGGUAUAGCUCAGUGGUAGAGGACACUGCUUAGCAUGCGUAAGGUCCUGGGGUUCAAUCCCCAGUACCCCCA
rnacentral:tRNA from 1 species